GGCGGUGUAGCAUAGUUAUAAUGCGCUUCAUUUACAUUGAAGAUGAUCUUUUAAUUAGAAAGCGUUGCCU
rnacentral:tRNA from 1 species